rnacentral:lncRNA from 1 species
UUGAAUACAAGGAGAAAAUGGAAAUUUAAACACAAAAAUAUCAGAAGAAAAAGAGUCGGCAAAAAUAUCCAAUUUUCGCACGCUGAGUUCCAAUUUCGCAUGUUGGUUUGAGGUGUGCGAAAUUCUCGCACAGUGGACUGAGGAUUUCGCACCUUAAACAGUGGUGUGCGAAAUUGUCCCUCAGCUUGAUGCAGUUGUCUUCCGAAGUCCAUAUCUUCCUCAUUUCAGCUCCAAAUCAU